UUAAAUUGAAGAGUUUGAUCAUGGCUCAGAUUGAACGCUGGCGGCAGGCCUAACACAUGCAAGUCGAACGGUAACAGAAAGCAGCUUGCUGCUUUGCUGACGAGUGGCGGACGGGUGAGUAAUGUCUGGGAAACUGCCUGAUGGAGGGGGAUAACUACUGGAAACGGUAGCUAAUACCGCAUAACGUCGCAAGACCAAAGAGGGGGACCUUCGGGCCUCUUGCCAUCGGAUGUGCCCAGAUGGGAUUAGCUAGUAGGUGGGGUAACGGCUCACCUAGGCGACGAUCCCUAGCUGGU
rnacentral:rRNA from 1 species